GAUGAACGCUGGCGGCGUGCCUAAUACAUGCAAGUCGAACGAGGUGCUUGAGUAGCAAUACAAGAGUAUCCUAGUGGCGAACGGGUGAGUAACGCGUGGAUGACCUGCCCCAAAGUGUGGGAUAACAGUCCGAAAGGAUUGCUAAUACCUCAUGUGGUUAUCGGGUUUAGAAACUGAUAACUAAAGCAGCAAUGCGCUUUGGGAGGGAUCUGCGUCCCAUCAGCUAGUUGGUGAGGUAAUGGCUCACCAAGGCGACGACGGGUAGGGGACCUGAGAGGGUGGCCCCCCACAAUGGAACUGAAACAACGGUCCAUACACCUACGGGUGGCAGCAGUAGGGAAUAUUGCUCAAUGGGCGAAAGCCUGAAGCAGCAACGCCGCGUGUGCGAUGAAGGCCUUCGGUCGGUAAAGACACUUUCUUAAGAGAUGAGAAAGGAACGAGUAUACUUAGGUAA
rnacentral:rRNA from 1 species